AGGGGACAGAGUCAUGCAGGCCAAAUGAGAAUUCAACUGUCCAGAUAGAAAGGUGGACAUGGAAAAAUUGGGCUUUGCAAAUGGUCACCCAAUUCUUGCCUUCCUGGUCUCCAGAUCACCCUUCCUAUACCGCCACUCUGGAGAAAGAAGUACAGAACGCUAACAAGCACUCACAGUGUGUGCUACCCUUCUGCAUGGUGGAAUUGUGGGGAAGUAACUACUAGCCAGAGACUACCUCAAGGCCUCUUUCAUCAAGGAGAGGCCCAUAUGAUUAGUUUUCACCAGUGAGCUAGAUACAGAGGACCUAACAUACAACUCAGAGUCCCUAGAAGAUGGAGAAAACACAGACAAUUGGCAGAGGAGAUGAGCAUGUGAUUAUUGUUACCACUUGUCUGGAAGCAACCAGAAUGGAGUGGGGAAGACUCAAGGAGGAGAUCUUCACAGGACUCACCUCUCAUCACAGCUCCCGUGUGGUUGUAAUCACCCCAGAGGGAAAAAUAAUUUCGGUUUUUUAUGGUUUAAUUAUUGGUGAUAGCAGCUGUUUUGAAGACACAAACACAGAAGCAAGUUCUAGAACAUACUCACAGUUUCCUUGGUCACAGUGUUGUCAGUGGUUCUAUAAAGGUCUUAUGAAUCUCUACUUAGUUGACCACAAGUAGUAAGCAAGAAACAAUCCUGUAAAGAGAAUGGAGGUCAGAAUAAAGAAGCCUUGAGGGUUUAAAUCGCUUCUUGAAAAGAAAUGCCCGUGUGUCAAGGAGCUAAGGGAGACCAGCCCAGGAGGAGCUGAAUCCUGCCAACAAUCACUUGAGUGAACUUGAGAGUGAAUCCUCUCCAUGUUAAGCCUUGAGGUGAUUGUAGCUCCAUCAAAUACCUUCAUUGUAGCCUUGUGAGAGAUCUGAGUCAGAGGAUGGAGUUAAGCCAAGCCCAGAUUCCAGACCCUCAGAAACUUGAAAGCGGAAUACCUGGUUAUCCGGAGGUCACUGUCUCCACACAGAGUGGUGUCCUUGAUGCUAGCUUGGGGCAAAGAAGCCAGGCCAGCUUGUGGUUGCAAUAGGAAUAGAAGAGACUUCCUUACUCCAAUCCCACCCUACCCCCUCAUCCUGCCUCAACCAGUCAUGCAGAGAGAUGCUGAAUGGCUGCCUGCUCUCAGGGGAAUGAUUUGUGGAGGUUUAAUUAAAAUAAUUUAAUCAAUCAAAUCCAACAAAUAUUCGCUGAGU
rnacentral:lncRNA from 1 species